CUGAGUGAGGCUCCCUGUGCCUGUGACUGUGACUGUUUCCUCCUGAGUGGCUGAGGCUUGCCCAUCACCUGCCUUCAGUCUGUCCUGGUUGGUCACAGCCUUGUUCCAGAGGAAGACCAUACACCUGACCCCCAGAGUUGUGAAGACAAUGCUCCAAACACCCACUGAACAUCCUGGGCACCUGUGGAUCACUGGGACUGCCUGGUUUGGAACAGGUGAUCUGACCGGCAUGAUGACUGAAUGAACGAAGGAGAAAGGAAUAGCUGUCCCAACCCCACUUGGCCUCUAUUGAAUGCAACCCCAGGUGCUAAUGGGCUCUUCAUCCACAAGCACCUGGACUUCAAAGACGGAUCUGGCAGAGUUAUUUUGUUCCAGAGAGCAGGACCCUGUAGCAAGCAUAUGGGACCCACGGAGCCUUAGUCCUCUCCAUUCAUCAAGACCCAACAGUCUGUGCCGAGAAGUAUUGAAUUUUAGCUUAAGAUGGAUCGCACGACUGGAGUCUCCUUUACAAAUGAAUUAUAUUCUGUUUACCAUUUGUGUGUGCGUAUGUGUGAGCAUGUGUGUGUGUGUGCCAGAUGAGUGUUUAGGUUUGUGGCCUGUUCCUGUGAGGGGCAUUCUCUCAUGGUUAGAAACGCAUAUAUAGGAGUUUGUAAUCAGGAAGCAGCAGCUAGGGUGCAGGCAGUUCUUGCAAGAAGUUUGAUAGAGAAUAAAAAAGAUCCUGUGGGUAGAGAAUUGGGGAAGAGCGUGUAUAAAAGAGCAGUAGUUUUAUUAUUUUUGUUGCUGUUAUUGUUACUAUUAUAUUGGUACAGGAUCCUUCUCCCUGAAGUAAAUUCCUUUCAGGUUCACUGUAGAAUGUGAGGCCAGCUCUGUUAUUAUCUCAUUUGCUGAGGAAAUGGAGACUCAGAGAGGUAAGGUGACCUGUUUGGGAUCACACAACAGGAGCUUGGAGCUGGGUGUUCAGAGCGUGUGGUUGGGUCCUGAAGUGAUUCUCCUAUGAAGAAAUGAAAAGACAACUGGGAGUAGGAAGGUGCCAGUAGAAGGGAGGGAAUUGAAGGACAUGGGGGCGCUAGGCUUCCCAAGGCAGAAUGCUGAGAUCUUGGUUGCCCUGGAUGAGAAAAGAGGCGGGAGAAAGAAUGUGCCCAGGUAAAUGGUCCAGCUGAGAGGUUUGCCUUCAAAGCAGGCUCUGUCUCUAGGACUUUGCAGCCCACUUCCCACCUAAGAUAGCUGCUUGAAUUCUACCCCUUGGGCCUCUGCUUUCCCAUUUGUACAAGAGGGCAUCUGGACUGGGUUAUGGGAGUGGAGAACUUCUGGGUUUCUCUUUGCUUUUAACUUUUGAUACUCUGUGCUAAGCAUAUGUAUAGGUUUGUAGGUACAUGGUGUAUAUGUGUGUGUGUGUGUGUGUGUGUGUGGCCAGAGGGGAGAAAAAUGUAGGGAGCUAAACCAAUGAGGUGGGGGAGUACCUGUUCACACUGGAUUGGGGUGGGAGUCCCAAGGGCCUGCUAGGUAAGUCAGCUCAGGGUGAGGGAUGAGUUUGAGCAUGAGCUGCCAAUUUGGGUGGCCCAGACCUAUGCCUGGAACCAAGGGAUGAAAGUGUAUAAUAGGGUGCAAGUGCAGGAAGAGUGGGCAGAGGAGGCCCAUAGACUCCAAGACUUGAAUUUCUAUCCUCCAUAUCCAAUUCCUAUCCUUGUACCACUCUGGCCCCAAUGCUCAGGGCCAGCACAAAAGAAAACCAUUUGCUUCAGCUAAAGCAAACAGCAGAUGGAGUUAGUGAUAAGGGAGCUUCAAGGUGAAAUCUGACAGCAUGGCCCCUGGCCUGGGCAGAGGAGGGAUUCAGAGAGGAAAUGGUUAUAAGAAGGGAGCUUGGGCUGGGGUUAUGGCUCAAUAGUAGAGCGCUUGCCUAGCACGGGCAAGGCCCUGGGUUCGAUCCUCAGCACCACAUUAAAAAACAAAAACAAAAACACAAAGAUAUUGUGUCCAACUACAAUUUUAAAAAAAGAAAAAGAAAGAAUAAGGGAGCUCAACAAGGCUCUGGGAAAAAGGAGCCCGAGGAAAGAGGGUGGAGAGUCACUCUGGGGGGGUCAAGCCUCAAGGAGGUGAGUAUAGUUCAUGGACAGCAGAGUAUGGAGGCACUAGGGAGAGUGCUUUCAGGCCUGGUCCCUGUAGAGUUCUUGAGGAAUUACCUACCCCAAGCACCGUCUUAGUCCUGGAGUUAUCUUCUAGCAUGGGCAUCCCGGGCAGCUAAGCAUGGACUACAAGGUCAGGAAAACCCAGUGUUAAGAGGAGACCAGGGCUAGGCUUUGGCCUAGAAUGCCUGUGGAGAAUCACACAUGGCCAACCACAGGGCUACUAAGCAGGCAGAUGGAUAGAGGUUUCCUGAUACCAGAGGCUGGUCUCUUCUCAUUCAUGGAGGCAGAUGCUUUUUUAGCCCAGAAGCCUGGUUCCAUGUGGGAAGCUUCACCAGAGAAGAUGUUUCCAGGAGGGGCUCAGGCCACAGCAUACCUGGGCUCACUUUCUUAGGGGAGCAGGUACAGAGUGAAGGCCAUGCCAGGGUCCAUUCUUCUCACUGUGCCAUCCUGCCAUAGUGUGAGAUCAAGCAAGACUGGAAAUUGAAUAUGGGAGGUGGGUGCAGCUAGAUGAGUGGGACCAGGUCGCCUAUGGACUAGGGAUCAGGUUUCCAGGGUUGGGGGGAGAUGUUAAGGCAAUUACUCAUAGGCCUGGUGAUGAGAUGUCUUUUAUUUCCAAGGACCCUCUCCUCCUCUUGCAGAAAUCAGCUUCAACUCUGUCUGACUUCCCAGCCCUUGCUGUGCACCAGUUCAUCUGACCCUCACAGUAAGCACCCUGCAGAUUCUCCUGUUGUAACCCUCUUCAAAACAGAAAAGGAGCCUGGCAGGAUUGACCCAGAGCCUCCUUCCUCUCCAUGGCUGUAGUGGGUAAAUAAAUGAUUUCCUGGAAGCAAGAUGUUCUUUUAGUACAUUUCGCUCAUUGAAGAAACAAAUGAGUUCCCUAACCAGAGGUCCUGUAGCCUCUAGAAAAACAGCUGCAGCCUCAGUUGCCCUGGUCCC